UGAGGAACAUGACCUUCGGCGGGGGAUAGCCGGCCCAACGGCCGGGUAAUACCGCGUACGACCACUUGGGGACAUCCUCGAGUGGUGAAAGCAGCAAUGCGCCGAUGAAGUGCCUCGCGGCCUAUCAGCUAGUUGGUGGGGUAACGGCUCACCAAGGCGACGACGGGUAGCUGGUCUGAGAGGAUGGCCAGCCACAUUGGGACUGAGACACGGCCCAGACUCCGUACGGGAGCAG
rnacentral:rRNA from 1 species